UACAGAGGGUGCGAGCGUUAAUCGGAAUUACUGGGCGUAAAGCGCACGUAGUCGGCUUUGCAAGUCGGUUGUGAAAUCCCCGGGCUCAACCUGGGAACUGCAUCCGAGACUGCAUUGCUAGAGUAUGGGAGAGGAAAGCGGAAUUUCUGGUGUAGCAGUGAAAUGCGUAGAUAUCAGAGGGAACACCAGUGGCGAAGGCGGCUCACUGGCCCGGUACUGACGCUGAGGUGCGAAAGCGUGGGGAGCAAACGGG
rnacentral:rRNA from 1 species